rnacentral:lncRNA from 1 species
UCAACUCUCCAAGGUUCUUCGAAGCCUAAUCGUCUCCGACCAUUUUUCCACCGUACUGCCACCGGAAUCCAUGCUUCUCAGGCAAUGGAUGGUUUGUACUCAUCCCUCUCCACCAUUAGACCAUGUUUGUUCGAAGCAUUGAGGCCAGACCUUGAUGGUUCACCUCCAGACCUUCCUAGAUCUAUGGUUCUAUGGCCUCUCCGGCCCGUGCUCCAACAUAUUCAAGCAUUAGAGGGCAUGAUUGUACCCUUCCAACUCAAGAUUGGGAUUUCAACCAAAUCUUUCUUAUUUCUAGGGUUUCUCCGAAACCCUAAGCUACUCGAGGUUUUUUCUCUGUUGUUUUCUUAGAUCUAUGCCGUGUCUGUGAUUUACUCGACUUUUAAAGUGUUUUCCCC